rnacentral:tRNA from 1 species
GCAGUGGUAGUUCAGCGGUAGAAUUCUCGCUUUCCAUGUGGGAGACCUGGGUUCAAUUCCCAGCCAAUGCA